rnacentral:rRNA from 1 species
AUUGAACGCUGGCGGCAUGCCUUACACAUGCAAGUCGAACGGCAGCACGGGGGCAACCCUGGUGGCGAGUGGCGAACGGGUGAGUAACGCAUCGGAAUGUACCCAGUAGUGGGGGGAUAACUAGUCGAAAGACUAGCUAAUACCGCAUACGCACUGAGGUGGAAAGCGGGGGAUCGCAAGACCUCGCGCUAUUGGAGCAGCCGAUGUCCGAUUAGGUAGUUGGUGGGGUAAAGGCCUACCAAGCCUGCGAUCGGUAACUGGUCUGAGAGGACGACCAGUCACACUGGGACUGAGACACGGCCCAGACUCCUACGGGAGGCAGCAGUGGGGAAUUUUGGACAAUGGGCGCAAGCCUGAUCCAGCAAUGCCGCGUGUGUGAAGAAGGCC